UCCUGGUUAACCCAGGCAGUCUCACUAGAGUUCCCACCUUUACGUGUUGGCAACUAGUGAUAAGGGUUGCGCUCGUUGCGGGACUUAACCCAACACCUCACGGCACGAGCUGACGACAGCCAUGCAGCACCUGUGCAGAAGCCCCGAAGGGAAAUACCAUUUCUGGUAUCGUCCUCUGCAUGUCAAGCCUGGGUAAGGUUCUUCGCGUUGCAUCGAAUUAAACCACAUGCUCCACUGCUUGUGCGGGUCCCCGUCAAUUCUUUUGAGUUUCAGCCUUGCGACUGUACUCCCCAGGCGGUAUACUUAACGCGUUAGCUUCGGCACAGCUAGGGUUGAGUCCAGCUACACCAAGUAUACAUAGUUUACGGCAAGGACUAC
rnacentral:misc_RNA from 1 species